AUUGCCUGAGGAUCUUAUCAAAAUGUAGGUUAUGGUUCAGUAGGGUGGAAGUGGUGCCUGAGAUUCUGAAUUUCUAACAAGUUUGCAGGUGAUGUCA
rnacentral:pre_miRNA from 1 species